UACGUAGGGUGCGAGCGUUAAUCGGAAUUACUGGGCGUAAAGCGUGCGCAGGCGGUUUUGUAAGCCAGAUGUGAAAGCCCCGGGCUUAACCUGGGAAUGGCAUUUGGGACUGCAAGGCUUGAGUGCGGCAGGGGCAGAGGGAAUUUCUGGUGGAGCGGUGAAAUGCGUAGAGAUCGGAAAGAACACCAACGGCGAAAGCACUCUGCUGGGCCGACACUGACACUGAGAGACGAAAGCGAGGGGAGCAAAUGGG
rnacentral:rRNA from 1 species